AUUCAGUUGACGAGUUCCAAAGAAGACGAAACAUGCGUCAUGGAU
rnacentral:hammerhead_ribozyme from 1 species